CUUGAUACCCAGUUGAAUUGCAAAGUGUGAGGCAGAAGAAACCACCACUGCUUUGUUCUGCAGUUAUACAAGUUGGCAAGUGGGUUCUUCACAAGACCCCGGUAUAAAUUAGAAGACCUACGCAGUUAACAGGGAAUCUUCCUUUAUAUCACUGGUCAGGAGCAUCUCAGCUUUCCAGUGCUCUGCAUGGACUGCGGGACCGGCCAGGAGCAGCUGGAGCUGUGAAGGGCAGCUCCGUGACUCACUCGCACUGUUAAGCCAGACAAGUUUGUAACAUCAAUGCUGUUGUGACCAAUAUUAUAGUCCAAAGAGGGCCUGAAAGCUCUCAGGUAUGAGUAGCACAAACCCAUUCUCAGAAGAGGGAGAGCCAGAGCAACUUGCUUUACCAUUGUGCUUUCUGGAAC
rnacentral:lncRNA from 1 species